rnacentral:hammerhead_ribozyme from 1 species
AUCCAGCCGACGAGUCCCAAAAAGGACGAAACGCACUUCCUGGAU